AUGUACGUUAAUAUUAUUACAAAUCCAUUGUUUUUACCUCUCCAGAUCGCACAACUGUACUGAGAGCAGAGAGCAGAGAGUAGAGAGUGAAGAAAACAACCCGACGCGAAUGCGCAUCGCACCGAUUCACACGUAGAGUCUCUCCCUCUCCAUUUUGACGUGCGGCGGGGCCUGCGUAUCCUGCGCCCCAAUUGCCCAAUGAGUAGAUCGUCAGCUGCGCUAAUUUUACUUAUUGUAGCUCUGGUUGCUUUGCCGGCAUCGCUAGCUGAUGCUUGAUGAUCAAGCCGCCGGCAAUGUCACCGGUGGCAAUAGGACUGCGGGGAAGGAGGACACCUUUGCUGACAUGAUCGAUCGAGCACUGGAGAAAGAGUUCACUGAGAGUGAGGAUCAGAAUGAAGCAAAUGAUGCUGGUAGCUUCAACAACAGUGUGGCAAAGCAGCAGAAUAGAGUCCAGGAUCUAGGGUUUUAAUUUUUUGGGGCCGAUCUUUUGCGACAG